UGAUCAGCGAUGACCUAGUUG
rnacentral:miRNA from 1 species